GACGUCGAAUACCGACGUCAUAAACACCAAAGUUGAUCGUGUUUAUGUGGUCGAAUAUCGACGUCAUCAACACGAAAGUUGAUCGUGUUUAUGUGGUCGAAUAUCUACGUCAUAAACACCUAAGUUGUUUGUGUUUAUGACGUCGAAUACCGACGUCAUAAACACCAAAGUUGAUCGUGUUUAUGUCGUCGAAUAUCGACGUCAUAAACACGAAAGUUGAUGGUGUUUAUGUCGUCGAAUAUCGACGUC